rnacentral:rRNA from 1 species
AGAGUUUGAUCAUGGCUCAGAUUGAACGCUGGCGGAAUGCUUUACACAUGCAAGUCGAGCGGCAGCGCGGGGCAACCUGGCGGCGAGCGGCGAACGGGUGAGUAAUGCAUCGGAACAUGUCCAUGUCGUGGGGGAUAGCCCGGCGAAAGCCGGAUUAAUACCGCAUACGCCCGAGAGGGGAAAGCGGGGGACCGCAAGGCCUCGCGCGAUUGGGUUGGCCGAUGUCCGAUUAGCUUGUUGGUGAGGUAAAGGCUUACCAAGGCGAUGAUCGGUAGCUGGCCUGAGAGGAUGAUCAGCCACACUGGGACUGAGACACGGCCCAGACUCCUACGGGAGGCAGCAGUGGGGAAUUUUGGACAAUGGGGGAAACCCUGAUCCAGCCAUUCCGCGUGAGUGAAGAAGGCCUUCGGGUUGUAAAGCUCUUUUGUCCGGAGCGAAACGGUUACGGUGAAUAUCCGUGACUACUGACGGUACCGGAAGAAUAAGCACCGGCUAACUACGUGCCAGCAGCCGCGGUAAUACGUAGGGUGCGAGCGUUAAUCGGAAUUACUGGGCGUAAAGCGUGCGCAGGCGGUUUUGUAAGCCAGAUGUGAAAUCCCCGGGCUCAACCUGGGAAUGGCAUUUGGGACUGCAAGGCUUGAGUAUGGCAGAGGGGGCUAGAAUUCCUGGUGUAGCAGUGAAAUGCGUAGAUAUCAGGAGGAAUACCGAUGGCGAAGGC